CAGUAGCCGCGGUAAUACGGAGGGUGCAAGCGUUAAUCGGAAUUACUGGGCGUAAAGCGCACGCAGGCGGUUUGUUAAGACAGAUGUGAAAUCCCCGGGCUCAACCUGGGAACUGCAUUUGUGACUGGCAAGCUAGAGUGUGGCAGAGGGGGGUGGAAUUCCGCGUGUAGCAGUGAAAUGCGUAGAUAUGCGGAGGAACACCGAUGGCGAAGGCAGCCCCCUGGGCCAACACUGACGCUCAUGCACGAAAGCGUGGGGAGCAAACAGGAUUAGAUACCCCGGUAGUCCCUGUCUCUUAUAC
rnacentral:rRNA from 1 species